rnacentral:rRNA from 1 species
ACGGAAGGCAGCAGUGGGGAAUAUUGGACAAUGGGGGAAACCCUGAUCCAGCGACGCCGCGUGAGUGAAGAAGUAUUUCGGUAUGUAAAGCUCUAUCAGCAAGGAAGAAAAUGACGGUACUUGACUAAGAAGCUCCGGCUAAAUACGUGCCAGCAGCCGCGGUAAUACGUAUGGAGCAAGCGUUAUCCGGAUUUACUGGGUGUAAAGGGAGCGUAGACGGCUUUGCAAGUCUGAAGUGAAGCCCGGGGCUCAACCCCGGAACUGCUUUGGAAACUGUAGAGCUAGAGUACAGGAGAGGUAAGCGGAAUUCCUAGUGUAGCGGUGAAAUGCGUAGAUAUUAGGAGGAACACCAGUGGCGAAGGCGGCUUACUGGACUGUAACUAACGUUGAGGCUCGAAAGCGUGGGGAGCAAACAGGAUUAGAUACCCUGGUA